GAGUGACACAAUGACAUAGAUCGAGUGGCAUUCGAUAAAGUUAAAGUGAAAUGACACUAGAAAUAGUGUGAGGUAAAGAACCAAUGUAUUGUAAAGAAUGAUGAAAAUGACGAUGUUUAAAGUUAAAGUAAUGUGGGGAGUAAAGAAUGUGAAGUGCUAGAGGUAGCCAAAAGUAAAGAAUGUAAAGAAUAUAAUUGCUAGAGUUAG
rnacentral:lncRNA from 1 species